rnacentral:rRNA from 1 species
AAGCCUGACGCAGCCAUGCCGCGUGGAUGAUGAAGGUCUUAGGAUUGUAAAAUCCUUUCACCGGUGAAGAUAAUGACUGUAGCCGGAGAAGAAGCCCCGGCUAACUUCGUGCCAGCAGCCGCGGUAAUACGAAGGGGGCUAGCGUUGCUCGGAAUUACUGGGCGUAAAGGGCGCGUAGGCGGACAUUUAAGUCAGGGGUGAAAUCCCAGAGCUCAACUCUGGAACUGCCUUUGAUACUGGAUGUCUUGAGUGUGAGAGAGGUAUGUGGAACUCCGAGUGUAGAGGUGAAAUUCGUAGAUAUUCGGAAGAACACCAGUGGCGAAGGCGACAUACUGGCUCAUUACUGACGCUGAGGCGCGAAAGCGUGGGGAGCAAACAGGAUUAGAUACCCUGGUAGUCCACGCCGUAAACGAUGAUUGCUAGUUGUCGGGCUGCAUGCAGUUCGGUGACGCAGCUAACGCAUUAAGCAAUCCGCCUGGGGAGUACGGUCGCAAGAUUAAAACUCAAAG